UACAGAGGGUGCAAGCGUUGUUCGGAAUUAUUGGGCGUAAAGAGCUCGUAGGCGGUUCGUCGCGUCGGCUGUGAAAACCCGGAGCUCAACUCCGGGCCUGCAGUCGAUACGGGCGGACUGGAGUUCGGCAGGGGAGACUGGAAUUCCUGGUGUAGCGGUGAAAUGCGCAGAUAUCAGGAGGAACACCGGUGGCGAAGGCGGGUCUCUGGGCCGAUACUGACGCUGAGGAGCGAAAGCGUGGGGAGCGAACAGG
rnacentral:rRNA from 1 species